UCUCAGGCUUGUUUGGUGUUUAAGCUGGAAAAUGCUGAAUUCUGGAGAGCCACAAGGAACAGACACUGCUAACAGAAUCUGCUGGAGACCUUACCGUCC